AACAGACAACAAUCACUUAGUAUGCAAAUGGCGAACAUGACAGGCGGUGGUGGAACAUCACCGGAGUAAACGAGAAUGGCAGAAGCAGUUCCAUCUUAAUAGAGUUUUGUGUCUCAAGAAAUUGUUUCUGCUAGAAAUACAUCUGUAACACUAACUACUUAAUACAUUCUAAACGAAAGUUCGGUAAUAUCUGUUCUCUCUGACUUAGUUGUGUUACGAGCUUAGCGUGGCUAAUGGAUAGUUUAUUCAACUGCAAUGACUGUACGAGACUGUCAAAACAAAUUAAUGUAAGAAAUAAAUAUUAUAAUUAAAUAUGAUGUAACAUUUGAUAAUGUUUGUCUUCUGGAACAUUGCACCGUAGAAGGUCCUGGGAGACGCAGGAUUACAGUCUGUUACUCUUCCAGAAACGAUACCCGGAUUUUCCACAUGAGAACGAAAGAAA